UACAGAGGGUGCAAGCGUUAAUCGGAUUUACUGGCGUAAAGCGCGCGUAGGCGGCUAAUUAAGUCAAAUGUGAAAUCCCCGAGCUUAACUUGGGAAUUGCAUUCGAUACUGGUUAGCUAGAGUGUGGGAGAGGAUGGUAGAAUUCCAGGUGUAGCGGUGAAAUGCGUAGAGAUCUGGAGGAAUACCGAUGGCGAAGGCAGCCAUCUGGCCUAACACUGACGCUGAGGUGCGAAAGCAUGGGGAGCAAACAGGG
rnacentral:rRNA from 1 species